UAUGUGUGUGUGUGCUGUUUGUGUGCUGUAUGUGUGUGCUGUGUGCUGUAUGUGUGUGUGGGUGCUGUAUGUGUACACAGCACACAAACAGCACACACACAGCACCCACACACAUACAGC